UUAUAGCUGGUGCCUUAUGAGAACCACACAUUUCACAAUAAUCACAAAGUACACUGUUAAGCUAAGUAUCAAAAUGUGUAAGUAAAGUUGCAAAAUUCAAAUACAUAUCUUUUUACAUUUCCUUCAAAGGCAAAAGCAGCGUUUCUACCCUUUUUAUAUAGUUUCUACUGUAACAGAUUAUAUUCACCAUUACAGUUUUACAAAAUACUAAAAUAACUUAACUUAUAUACAACUUUUAUU
rnacentral:lncRNA from 1 species